GACAGAGGGUGCAAACGUUGUUCGGAAUUACUGGGCGUAAAGGGCUCGUAGGUGGCCAACUAAGUCAGACGUGAAAUCCCUCGGCUUAACCGGGGAACUGCGUCUGAUACUGGAUGGCUAGAGAUUGGGAGAGGGAUGCGGAAUUCCAGGUGUAGCGGUGAAAUGCGUAGAUAUGCGGAGGAACACCGAUGGCGAAGGCAAUCCCCUGGGCCUGCACUGACGCUCAUGCACGAAAGCGUGGGGAGCAAACAGG
rnacentral:rRNA from 1 species